UUGAAUUGAUUGUGACAUAAAUGACCCUGUGUGAGAUUUGAGCCACUUGAUAUUCUUUCUUGUGUGUGAUAUGUCUCUUGAUUGCUUGCACAUAUGCCUUGGCUUGACUCUUUUUGAUGUUUCUUGAUUGAUAUGCAUGUUUGAAAGUGAUAAAGGCAGCUUUGUUGUUGAGCCUUUCUAGCCAAAUGAGCCUACCCUGUUUUGAUCCUUUGAUAGCCC
rnacentral:lncRNA from 1 species